rnacentral:rRNA from 1 species
UGGCCUUGACAUCCACGGAAUCCUUUAGAGAUAGAGGAGUGCCUUCGGGAACCGUGAGACAGGUGCUGCAUGGCUGUCGUCAGCUCGUGUCGUGAGAUGUUGGGUUAAGUCCCGCAACGAGCGCAACCCUUGUCCUUAGUUGCCAGCGAGUAAAGUCGGGAACUCUAAGGAGACUGCCGGUGACAAACCGGAGGAAGGUGGGGAUGACGUCAAGUCAUCAUGGCCAUUACGGCCAGGGCUACACACGUACUACAAUGGUGGGGACAGAGGGUUGCGAUACCGCGAGGUGGAGCCAAUCCCAGAAACCCCAUCCUAGUCCGGAUCGGAGCCUGCAACUCGACUCCGUGAAGUCGGAAUCGCUAGUAAUCGCGGAUCAGCAUUGCCGCGGUGAAUACGUUCCCGGGCC